rnacentral:rRNA from 1 species
UACGGAGGGUGCAAGCGUUGUUCGGAAUUACUGGGCGUAAAGGGCGCGUAGGCGGUUUGCUAAGUUCGGUGUGAAAGCCCCUGGCUCAACUGGGGAACGGCGCUGGAAACUGGCAGACUAGAGUACCGGAGAGGAGGGUGGAAUUCCUGGUGUAGCGGUGAAAUGCGUAGAUAUCAGGAGGAACACCGGUGGCGAAGGCGGCCCUCUGGACGGAUACUGACGCUGAGGCGCGAAAGCGUGGGGAGCGAACAGG